rnacentral:rRNA from 1 species
CUGCCAGCCGCCGCGGUAAUACCAGCAGUUCAAGUUGCAUCCCUUUUUAUUGGGUCUAAAACAUCCGUAGCUCGCCGUUUAAGUCUCUUGUGAAAUCCUACGUCUCAAGCGUGGGGCUUGCAGGAGAUACUGAGCGGCUAGAGAUCGGUAGACGUAAGGAGUACGCCGGAGGUAACGGUUAAAUGUGUUAAUCUUCGGUGGACUAACAAUGAGCGAAGGCACCUUACGAGGACGAAUCUGACAGUGAGGGAUGAAGGCCAGGGGCGCAAAACGGAUUAGAUACCCGUGUAGUCCUAGCAGUAAACACUGUACACUAAACAUUGGGACCUCUUCGAGAGGUUUCAGUGCUGCAGGGAAGCCGAAGAGUGUACUACCUGGAAAGUAUAGCCGCAAGGCCGAAACUCAAAUGAAUUGACGG